GUGGGGAAUAUUGGACAAUGGCCGGAAGGCUGAUCCAGCCAUGCCGCGUGCGGGAAGACGGCCCUAUGGGUUGUAAACCGCUUUUGUUGGGGAGCAAUAAGGAGCACGUGUGCUUCGAUGAGAGUACCCAGCGAAUAAGCAUCGGCUAACUCCGUGCCAGCAGCCGCGGUAAUACGGAGGAUGCAAGCGUUAUCCGGAUUUAUUGGGUUUAAAGGGUGCGUAGGCGGACUUUUAAGCGUGAGGUGAAAUGCGCGGGCUCAACCUGUGAACUGCCUCGCGAACUGGGAGUCUUGAAUGUCCGUGCCGUGGGAGGAAUGUGUGGUGUAGCGGUGAAAUGCAUAGAGAUCACACAGAACACCGAUUGCGAAGGCAUCUCACGAACGGAUGAUUGACGCUGAGGCACGAAAGCGUGGGGAUCAAACAGG
rnacentral:rRNA from 1 species